CAGUCGCCGCGGUAAUACGAGGGGGGCAAGCGUUGUUCGGAAUUAUUGGGCGUAAAGGGUGCGUAGGCGGUUUGAUAAGUUUGAUGUGAAAUCUCUGGGCUCAACCCAGAGUCUGCACGGGAAACUGUCGGGCUUGAGAAUGGGAGAGGUGAGUGGAAUUUCCGGUGUAGCGGUGAAAUGCGUAGAUAUCGGAAGGAACACCUGUGGCGAAAGCGGCUCACUGGACCAUUUCUGACGCUGAUGCACGAAAGCUAGGGGAGCAAACAGGAUUAGAUACCCCCGUAGUCCCUGUCUCUUAUAC
rnacentral:rRNA from 1 species